CUACCUUUCACAGGGGGAUAGCCCGAAGAAAUUUGGAUUAAUACCCCAUAAUAUUAUUGGAUGGCAUCAUUUGAUAAUUAAGGCUACGACGGUGAAAGAUGGGCAUGCGUCCUAUUAGCUAGUUGGAGUGGUAACGGCACCCCAAGGCUACGAUAGGUAGGGGUCCUGAGAGGGAGAUCCCCCACACUGGUACUGAGACAGGGACCAGACCUCUACGGGAGGCAGCAGUGAGGAAUAUUGGUCAAUGGUCGGAAGACUGAACCAGCCAUGCCGCGUGCAGGAAGAAUGCCUUAUGGGUUGUAAACUGCUUUUAUAUGGGAAGAAUAAGGCGUACGUGUACGUUGAUGACGUACCAUACGAAUA
rnacentral:rRNA from 1 species